rnacentral:rRNA from 1 species
UCAUUACCGAGUUUACACUCCCAAACCCAAUGUGAACGUUACCAAACUGUUGCCUCGGCGGGAUCUCUGCCCCGGGUGCGUCGCAGCCCCGGACCAAGGCGCCCGCCGGAGGACCAACCUAAAACUCUUAUUGUAUACCCCCUCGCGGGUUUUUUUUAUAAUCUGAGCCUUCUCGGCGCCUCUCGUAGGCGUUUCGAAAAUGAAUCAAAACUUUCAACAACGGAUCUCUUGGUUCUGGCAUCGAUGAAGAACGCAGCGAAAUGCGAUAAGUAAUGUGAAUUGCAGAAUUCAGUGAAUCAUCGAAUCUUUGAACGCACAUUGCGCCCGCCAGUAUUCUGGCGGGCAUGCCUGUCCGAGCGUCAUUUCAACCCUCGAACCCCUCCGGGGGGUCGGCGUUGGGGAUCGGCCCUCCCUCUGCGGGGGCCGUCUCCGAAAUACAGUGGCGGUCUCGCCGCAGCCUCUCCUGCGCAGUAGUUUGCACACUCGCAUCGGGAGCGCGGCGCGUCCACAAC